GGACGGGUGAGUAAUGUCUGGGAAACUGCCUGAUGGAGGGGGAUAACUACUGGAAACGGUAGCUAAUACCGCAUAACGUCGCAAGACCAAAGAGGGGGACCUUCGGGCCUCUUGCCAUCGGAUGUGCCCAGAUGGGAUUAACUAGUAGGUGGGGUAACGGCUCACCUAGGCGACGAUCCCUAGCUGGUCUGAGAGGAUGACCAGCCACACUGGAACUGAGACACGGUCCAG
rnacentral:rRNA from 1 species